rnacentral:lncRNA from 7 species
GCAUGGCAAUAUCUUGCACAGGGAAUCUCUCUGGAAAGCUCCAGCACAAAGGAGCUGUACGGCGGCCAAGAGAGCACGCAGCCCACGGUCCCCGAGCCGGCUGCCACCUGGAAGUCAGUCCCCUGCGCAGCCCUUGCAGAGGAACGGUCGGACGGGAUGGGGGACGCUGCACGAUGCCCGUGUAGCCAGAUGGCACAGCACCAUCGGCCCUGUGGCUCUGCCACAGCUCUCACCCGAGGGCACUGGGGGACAGGGACGUGACAGCCGCCUGCACAUGGACACUGGAGCUGCCAGCCCCAGUGGAGCCACCUGAUGCCAGCCCGGUUGCUGUGGGAACACAGCUGAAGAGAUGGUGGUGGCAGUGCCUGAGGACACGGGACUGCCUUCACACGGUUCUGCCAGGUGCUGGGGCCCUCUUCUUCCUGCAAACACUCCGGCACUGCUGGGGCUGUCCCCUCCUUGGAGCCCAUCUCUCAUCCUCAUGGUGCCAAGGCUGCACGUCGCAGGGCGUACCCAGGCACUGUGCACCUCACCAGCACGGUGACAGCAGCAGGUCCCCGCCAAGCAUUUCAUCAGGAGGGCUGCACUGCGCUCACCCAUCCACUGACACCUUCCCACAUCCCAUAACCCAGCGGCAAAGCCCAAAAACGCCUCCUGCUCUCCUAAGCCAUACCCGGGGAGGUGCUGCCUUGAGGGGGGACUAACCGUGCCCGGCUGUGCAUGCGUGUGCUCUGCUCCUCUCCAGCACUAACCAGGCCCCCUGGGCACCGUGUGCUCCUUGUGAUCACUAACCCACUAACACACCCGCGCAUGCCCUACUAACAGCCCUGCAGCCACUAACAGCCCACAGGCCUUAAAGGGGAACGGAAAAGCUGGGUAAGUACGGGGCUGUACGGGGCACUGUGGGGCUGGGGGACCCAUGCAGAACGUGGGGCAGGCAGGGCAGGGUGAGCAGCCCCUCUGCAUGCCCCCUGCAUGGGGCUGCUCUCUGCAGCAGUGGGGCUGCGAUGCCCGGAGUGCUGCAUAUGGUUCUGCUGCUGACUGGGAGGCCAAAAUGGUUUUAUCAGCAGAAGCUUUUCAGUUCCUUUUUAAGCCAGUGGAUCUCUCUGUUACUAACACGUUCCUGAACUGAAUUAAACAAACUAAUCGUUGCUGCUUUUCUCU